UUUCACAAUUCAGGACUUGUCUUCAACUCCAUGGACUUGGAAACUUAAGUUUAUCAGGCUACCGAGAAUAGAUGUUGGGUCAGAAAUCAAAUUUAUAAGAGAAGCUGAGUACUAUGAGUGAUAGGUCUUUCAAUGACCAAAGUAUGCAUGUCUGCUCUUCUUCACAGCAUCUUCGUCACAGCAUCAAGAUACAAGGAAAUUUUAUUUUAUUUUAUUUUUUAAGAGUAAGAAGAUUUAUUGAGCUAGCUUCUGUCUAUGAGAGACAGAAGGGUAACUGGAAAUGUUGGAGAUUGAACUCAGGAACUCUCUGAGAGUGCUCACUGAGCUACAUCCCCAGCACCUUGUAUUUUUGGGGACCGGCUAUCACUAAAUUGCCCUGGCUGGCUUUAAACUUGGGAUCCUUCUCCCUCAGCCUUUGAACUGACUGGGUUUAGAGGCUUGUACCACUGUGCCUGGUUCAAUCUGCUUUCUUUAUACUUUUUUUCUUGAGUGCUGGGGAUGGAACCAGACCUGGUGCAUGUUAG
rnacentral:lncRNA from 1 species